CCUCAGUAACGGCGAGUGAAGCGGCAACAGCUCAAAUUUGAAAUCUGGCCCCAGGCCCGAGUUGUAAUUUGCAGAGGAUGCUUUUGGCGCGGUGCCUUCCAAGUUCCCUGGAACGGGACGCCACAGAGGGUGAGAGCCCCGUCAGGUUGUGCAACCAAGCCUUUGUAAAGCUCCUUCGACGAGUCGAGUAGUUUGGGAAUGCUGCUCUAAAUGGGAGGUAUAUGUCUUCUAAAGCUAAAUAUUGGCCAGAGACCGAUAGCGCACAAGUAGAGUGAUCGAAAGAUGAAAAGCACUUUGAAAAGAGAGUUAAAAAGCACGUGAAAUUGUUGAAAGGGAAGCGUUCAUGACCAGACUUGGGCCCGGUUGAUCAUCCAGCGUUCUCGCUGGUGCACUCUGCCGGCCCAGGCCAGCAUCAGUUCGCUCCGGGGGACAAAGGUUCCGGGAACGUGGCUCCCUCGGGAGUGUUAUAGCCCGGUUCAAAUGCCCUGGGGUGGACUGAGGUCCGCGCAUUGCAAGGAUGCUGGCGUAAUGGUCAUCAACGACCCGUCUUGAAACACGGACCAAGGAGUCGUCUUCGUAUGCGAGUGUUUGGGUGUAAAACCCCGGCGCGUAAUGAAAGUGAACGCAGGUGAGAGCUUCGGCGCAUCAUCGACCGAUCCUGAUGUUCUCGGAUGGAUUUGAGUAAGAGCAUACGGGGCCGGACCCGAAAGAAGGUGAACUAUGCCUGUAUAGGGUGAAGCCAGAGGAAACUCUGGUGGAGGCUCGCAGCGGUUCUGACGUGCAAAUCGAUCGUCAAAUAUGGGCAUGGGGGCGAAAGACUAAUCGAACCUUCUAGAA
rnacentral:rRNA from 1 species